rnacentral:rRNA from 1 species
AUGCCAAAGCUUCUCGCCAUCUCCAUCUUGCCGUUUAUUUUGGGUCGUAGCCAAGCACUGAACCUUCAACACGCUUGCCGUGCCUUAUUUUGCAGAGCGGCGAGGGAGGAGAAGGAAGAGGAGCGGGGGAUGGCGGGCUGCGGUGAAGCCAAGACAUCAUCGGUUUCCAUGGAUGAAGAGGCGUGCGGCAUGGAGAAGAAGUUUGGCGGGAUGGCGCCCAAGAAGCCGCUCAUAUCAAAGGACCAUGAGCGUGCCUACUUCGACUCCGCGGAUUGGGUCCUUGGCAAGCAAGCUGCAAACAGCAGCUCAACGGCUGCGGUGGAAUCGCUCAAGCCCAAGCUCAAGAGAACUCCUCAUCCCCAGCUUCCCCCUCGCAAGCCCACCUGUGCGUCUGGCUGA